UGACUUGUCCCUGUAAUUUUUGAAGUGGCAAUAAGAGCCUUAGACAUGAGUGAAAAUUUGUCAGUGUGAGGGCAUCUGGUGCCAAGACCGACAAGAGAAUGAAGUAUACUUGCAGGUAUGUGCAAAAUACAUCACAGACCUACAUCUUGAGCAAGACAGCAAGACAUGGUCAACAGCGGAUCCAGGCACUGACGUUCUCUGCAUUUCCAGGACAUAUUGGCGGAAAGUCAGACAGAAAGAACCAUGCAGAGAUCAUGCAGGUGAUGACAUCACAGCCGACGUGUUGCCAUCCAACAGCAACACAUCACAUUGUCGAACUCUCUCUCUCUCUCUCACACACACACACAGAGACGAGACACAGAGACGAGACACACUCACUCACUACACUCACUCACACACUCAAGACACUCACUUGCUCAUUCAAUCGCAUGCAUGCAUUCCACAACAUGGCUGCUACACAGAUCUAGUUGAAGAAGUACAUAAUAUUAACAUAACAGAAAAAACAUGCUUUAAGGGUUAAGGAAUCUUUUUCCUUUAAUAUUUCACCUUACACCUAGUCCCACUCAAUCCAAUUUUCACCCACAGAUGCCACACAUCACAUCUCAGAGGUCAAUGAAACUGCUGGUCUACUGACCUGUGGCCUGCAGAAAUUGCAGAGGGACAGAUACUAUCUAAAGUCAGUGACAUACUGUACAUAAUCGGCAAGCUAAACAACAUUUAUGUGACAUUAAGAAAACAAACUGCAUGCCAGGAAGACUGAUUUAUUUAUUUCUGUUGUGCUCUUGCUGUGUGUGUUAGGUCAGCUCUAUUCACCAUCAGCUAGCCGUGCUGACCAGUGGAGUGGUUUUCGUGACAUCUUCCCCCUCCAUCUUCUGCUGUGUGACACCCAUGAUGAACGGCCCCAGGACUCUAUGGAGGGGUAUUCCAGUGUCUCCACUGCACUGACAGUGGACGAUGACAUGUAUUUUCAUUACACCAAGUAAGCCAUAAAUAUUCCCGGAUAUUACCCUUUGAGAAACACAAUGUAACUCCUUUUCUUGCUAUGUCAGGUCAAACAGUAAUAUAAAGCAUUUAACCGUAGGAUCACCAUAUUAUUUCAAUGGAAACUGAUUUGUGAUAGAAGUUUAGUAUUCCAUUGUAACUUGACAUCAGUCUUUCAUGGUAUUCUUGCUCAGCAAUGAAGUAAAGUUCUAAUGACUGGAGAUGAUGUACAACCCACGUCCCUGCAGCCUUCUUCCCCCAGACAGCACCAUCCUGACUGCUGUGACUGCUGCGUACCUUCAACACUACAUAUUUCAUACAUCAGGAGCACUGGAGGACUUAUUGUCAUGUAUUGUCAAGUAUUGUCAAGUUUUAGUGCUGGUCCCCCAAAAGUCCCCACAUUGCUCCUACCUUGUACCAGUGUAUGAGAUUUCCCCAAAUUUCAGUCAGACAACCGGACUGGCAACUUUGUGAAGUUACCAGACCAGAUAAAAUGUUGCCAGUCCAGAAUGUUUUAGACUAACGAACAAAAGUAACAAAAGGGUAAACAUAAGAACAGGACUGUUUAAUGUUCGUUCUCGGAAAAGAACAAUCAACUGAUGGAUUGUCAUCUUAGUAACUAUAACUCCCAACCAUCGGGUGUGCAACUUUUUCAAAACUUAGUCCUUCAGCAAAAUAGACCAUCUCAAUCACUGGUCAUGUGGGUACUUUAAACAUGGCUAGUACACCGAUGUUCUACAGCUCCUAUAUUAGCUCAUUUGAAAUCCCCGCUGGUAGUGUCAACAUAAUGCAUACUCAUUCUGCAAUGUGGAUUCACCAGUGAACAUGACAAACGUACACUCAAUUGUUUGCAAACCUUCAGUGCACCAGUAACCAUGAACACUGUGGGGAUUCCGGGGUAGACGAGGUCCCCAGCAACCUAUGCUGGUCAUAAGGGGCGACUGAAUGGAUCAGACUUGGUUGAUUGCUUGGAUUGUUUCUGAUAAUAUCAAUCACUGGAUUGUCUGGCGCAGACUCAAUUAUUUGCAGGCCGUAGACAUACAGCUGGAAUAUUGCUGAGUGCAAUGUUAACCAACAUGGUAGAAACACCUAAUGUUAUAGAAUACCAAUAUCAGUCCCACAGAUGCACAAAGACACUUGUAUUGGAACAAAUCCUUGCAGUAGAGUGGAAAUUAUGUAAAUCAUAGCACCAGUUAAUUAAUACUUUGUGCCUUUUGGCAUGUGAAAAGUUUAAUAAUAUUAUUCUUAUUGCUUGCAAGGAAUGCUGACUGACUCACAUGGUAGUGUCACACUGCACAUGAUUAAACUAUGUAGAAUGGUAGUUCCUGUCUACAUGUAAUAUUAUACAGCAAUAUUUUGUUGGAUUAUGUAUUUCCAUGGAAAAGCAAAUUAUUCUAACAAUUUUUUCUAACAUCAUCAUCAACAAUUAUGACAAAUGGCCAUGGACUCAUCAAAGUUGGAUAAAAUGAAGUAUCAGUAAUAAAAGAGGAGUGAGUCACUUUUACGUUAUAAAUUGUCUGAUGUUUAAAAGUGUGUACCUCUCGGGAGCCAAUGUUUGAAUAUUUGGAAGUGUUCUCAGUGAGCAGGUACACUAUGUGGAAACAUAUAACACUAUGUAAUUUGGGGAUGUUUUCAUCAAAGGUGACUGGCUAUCCUACACAAAUUGGGUCAUGGAUUAUAUACAUUCAUCUGGGAUGUGCAUAUCUACUUAGGACGCUCCCUGCCACUUCCAGAACUCUGUAUGCAUACUUGAACAGUCAGGGUGGGGGUGGGGGUUGUGUGGUGGCUGGCUCUGUGGUCUGUAAGAGACACUAUCUUCUAGGUUUCUCCAUAAUUAGAUAAAGGGGAAAUGUAACCAUCAAAUGACAAUGUGUUCGAUAUGUCUAGUUCCCACAACCUUUUACCCACAAGAAUUCAUAGCCACACAGAAAAAGAACACCAAUGUGUAUUUUACUGUUUAUUUUUAAGAAUAAAUAUAUACUAUCAAACAGUAUGGGUGUUUGAUACAGUUAAUUAAUACAUCUGUGGUAAUAUCAAAAGAUACCCUUAUAAAAACUUGCCACCACAAUGCUGGAUUGUGAAGACUAAAACAAGAUGUAAACUAGGGACAUUACACCACACAAUGAUGUAUCUAUAUACAACAUACGCUACAACAUCCUUCCUCCCGCAUCCAGGCAGGGGGAGCAACACAACUAGAUACGUAAAACCAAAAGUAACCCUGGUACCAACAAAGGUCAUAUACUUGCAUUGCAUAUUCACUUUCAGAUAAAAGUGUUAAAAAGAUAAACUCCUUUAGGUUAGACUUCAUUCUGCAUGUGUUCCAUGUUGGCUGUACAUGGUUUUCAACUGACAUCCUACAGGCCUGACUAAGCCGACAGUGGUGGUGCUUGCUGGGCCAGACAGUGGGACAGUGGAGGCAGUGGUUGGGGAAGCAGUGAAGAGGAAGACAGACAGAGAGGAAGACAUUUACAUUUACAGCAAAUCACACCACAGAUAUCUACACAUUACAUAUGCAGCUAUUUUACAGCAAUAUGUAAAUCUACACAGGAUAUUAUCUUAAAUGUACAAAUCUUUUGGAAGAUGAUUCCAAAUAUAUUAUUUACCCCGGGAAAUAAGUCAGUAUAUACUGACGCACACUACUGUCACAUUUUGAGCAAGAUAAAUU